UCGGAUAUGGUGUAACGGUCAACAUUGCCGCCUCUCAAAUCACCUUUUCGAUGCUCAACCAUGGGUGUGAUCGCGGCAGCUCGGGGUUCGAUUCCCCGUAUCCGAA